GAGUUUGAUCCUGGCUCAGAACGAACGCUGGCGGCGUGCCUAACACAUGCAAGUCGAACGUGAUCCAGAGCUUGCUCUGGUGAAAGUGGCGCACGGGUGAGCAACGCGUGGAUAACCUACCCUGGUAUCCGGGAUAACAUUCCGAAAGGGGUGCUAAUACCGGAUAAGCCCACGGGCUCUUUGGAGCUUGCGGGAAAAGGUGGCCUCUAUUUAUAAGCUACUGUAUCAGGAUGGGUCCGCGUACCAUUAGCUAGUUGGCGGUGUAACGGACCACCAAGGCGACGAUGGUUAGCUGGUCUGAGAGGAUGAUCAGCCACACUGGAACUGAGACACGGUCCAGACUCCUACGGGAGGCAGCAGUGGGGAAUUUUGCGCAAUGGGGGAAACCCUGACGCAGCAACGCCGCGUGAGUGAUGAAGGCCUUUGGGUCGUAAAGCUCUGUCAGAGGGGAAGAAAUGAUAUAGUGCUAAUACCACUUUAUCUUGACGGUACCCUCAAAGGAAGCACCGGCUAACUCCGUGCCAGCAGCCGCGGUAAUAC
rnacentral:rRNA from 1 species